rnacentral:rRNA from 1 species
UGCGAGCGUUGUCCGGAAUUAUUGGGCGUAAAGAGCUCGUAGGCGGUUUGUUGCGUCGGCCGUGAAAACCUGCAGCUUAACUGUGGGCCUGCGGCCGAUACGGGCAGACUUGAGUUCGGUAGGGGAGACUGGAAUUCCUGGUGUAGCGGUGAAAUGCGCAGAUAUCAGGAGGAACACCGGUGGCGAAGGCGGGUCUCUGGGCCGAUACUGACGCUGAGGAGCGAAAGCGUGGGGAGCGAACAGG